rnacentral:misc_RNA from 1 species
GAUGAAGAACGCAGCGAAAUGCGAUACGUAAUGUGAAUUGCAGAAUUCAGUGAAUCAUCGAAUCUUUGAACGCAUAUUGCGCUCUUUGGUAUUCCGAAGAGCAUGCUUGUUUGAGUAUCAGUAAACACCUCAAAGACUUCAAUUUGUUUUGAAUGGCUUUGGACUUGAGCAAUCCCAACACCAGUCUUUACGAUCGGUGGAGGGUUGCUUGAAAUGCAGGUGCAGCUGGACAUUCUCCUGAGCUAAAAGCAUAUUUAUUUAGUCCCAUCAAACGGAUUAUUACUUUUGCUGCAGCUAACAUAAAGGGAGUUUGACCGUAUUGGCUGACUGAUGCAGGAUUUCACAAGGGUCGGCAACGAUUCUUGUAAAACUCGAUCUCAAAUCAAGUAAGACUACCCGCUGAACUUAAGCAUAUCAAUAAGCGGAGGA